CCUACGGGAGGCAGCAGUGGGGAAUUUUGGACAAUGGGGGCAACCCUGAUCCAGCCAUUCCGCGUGAGUGAAGAAGGCCUUCGGGUUGUAAAGCUCUUUCGCAAGGGAAGAAAACUUAUGAUCGAAUAAAUCAUGAGGUUGACGGUACCUUGAUAAGAAGCACCGGCUAACUACGUGCCAGCAGCCGCGGUAAUACGUAGGGUGCGAGCGUUAAUCGGAAUUACUGGGCGUAAAGCGUGCGCAGGCGGUUUUGUAAGUCGGAUGUGAAAUCCCCGGGCUCAACCUGGGAACUGCGUUCGAAACUGCAAGGCUAGAGUGUGUCAGAGGGGGGUAGAAUUCCACGUGUAGCAGUGAAAUGCGUAGAGAUGUGGAGGAAUACCAAUGGCGAAGGCAGCCCCCUGGGAUAACACUGACGCUCAUGCACGAAAGCGUGGGGAGCAAACAGGAUUAGAUACCCUGGUAGUCCACGCCCUAAACGAUGUCAACUAGUUGUUGGUAGAGUAAAAUCUAUGAGUAACGUAGCUAACGCGUGAAGUUGACCGCCUGGGGAGUACGGUCGCAAGNUUAAAACUCAAAGGAAUUGACCGGNNGAGACGNGCGAGACGACACGAGGGAGAGG
rnacentral:rRNA from 1 species